AAGUCGAACGCACUCUCGUUUAGAUUGAAGGAGCUUGCUCCUGAUUGAUAAACAUUUGAGUGAGUGGCGGACGGGUGAGUAACACGUGGGUAACCUGCCCUAAAGUGGGGGAUAACAUUUGGAAACAGAUGCUAAUACCGCAUAAAACCUAACACCGCAUGGUGUAGGGUUGAAAGAUGGUUUCGGCUAUCACUUUAGGAUGGACCCGCGGUGCAUUAGUUAGUUGGUGAGGUAAAGGCUCACCAAGACCGUGAUGCAUAGCCGACCUGAGAGGGUAAUCGGCCACACUGGGACUGAGACACGGCCCAGACUCCUACGGGAGGCAGCAGUAGGGAAUCUUCCACAAUGGACGAAAGUCUGAUGGAGCAACGCCGCGUGAGUGAAGAAGGUUUUCGGAUCGUAAAACUCUGUUGUUGGAGAAGAAUGUAUCUGAUAGUAACUGAUCAGGUAGUGACGGUAUCCAACCAGAAAGCCACGGCUAACUACGUGCCAGCAGCCGCGGUAAUACGUAGGUGGCAAGCGUUGUCCGGAUUUAUUGGGCGUAAAGCGAGCGCAGGCGGUUUCUUAAGUCUGAUGUGAAAGCCUUCGGCUCAACCGAAGAAGUGCAUCGGAAACUGGGAAACUUGAGUGCAGAAGAGGACAGUGGAACUCCAUGUGU
rnacentral:rRNA from 2 species